rnacentral:rRNA from 1 species
AAGCGGGAAGAGCUCAAAUUUUGAAUCUGGCGGUCUUGCGGCCGUCCGAGUUGUAAUCUAGAGAAGCGUUUUCCGCGCUGGACCGUGUACAAGUCUCCUGGAAGGGAGCGUCGUAGAGGGUGAGAAUCCCGUCUUUGACACGGACGACCAGUGCUAUGUGAUGCGCUCUCGACGAGUCGAGUUGUUUGGGAAUGCAGCUCAAAAUGGGUGGUAAAUUCCAUCUAAAGCUAAAUACAUGCGAGAGACCGAUAGCGAACAAGUACCGUGAGGGAAAGACGAAAAGAACUUUGGAAAGAGAGUUAAACAGUACGUGAAAUUGCUGAAAGGGAAACGCUUGAUGUCAGUCGCGUCGGCCGGGGAUCAACCUUGCUUCUCGCUGGUGCAGUUCCUGGUCGACGGGUCAGCAUCGGUUUCGGUCGCCGUACAAUGGCGAGGGGAACGUGGCACUCUCCGGAGUGUGUUAUAGCCUUUCGUCGCAUGCGGUGGUUGGGAUCGAGGAACUCAGCACGGCUUCGGCUUGUGCUUAGGAUGCUGGCAUAAUGGCCUUAAGCGACCCGUCUUGAAACACGGACCAAGGAGUCUAACAUGCCUGCGAGUGUUUGGGUGGCAAACCCAAGCGCGCAAUGAAAGUGAAAGUCGAGACCUCUGUCGUGGAGGGCAUCGACGCCCGGACCUGAGUCUUUGACAAAGGAUCUGCGGUAGAGCAUGUAUGUUGGGACCCGAAAGAUGGUG